rnacentral:rRNA from 1 species
CCUACGGGAGGCAGCAGUGGGGAAUAUUGGACAAUGGCGGGAACCCUGAUCCAGCGACGCCGCGUGAGUGAAGAAGUAUUUCGGUAUGUAAAGCUCUAUCAGCAGGGAAGAAAGACAUGACGGUACCUGACUAAGCAGCCCCGGCUAACUACGUGCCAGCAGCCGCGGUAAUACGUAGGGGGCAAGCGUUAUCCGGAUUUACUGGGUGUAAGGGGAGCGUAGACGGCGAUGCAAGUCUGAAGUGAAAGGCGGGGGCCCAACCCCCGGACUGCUUUGGAAACUGGAUGGCUGGAGUGCAGGAGAGGUAAGUGGAAUUCCUGGUGUAGCGGUGAAAUGCGUAGAUAUUAGGAGGAACACCAGUGGCGAAGGCGGCUUACUGGACUGUAACUGACGUUGAGGCUCGAAAGCGUGGGGAGCAAACAGGAUUAGAUACCCCAGUAGUC